AUGCGACACCUUUCCUACCUACAUGUGAAUGCAAGCCAAGACAAUGAGGUUCUCCGGUUGAGUGGUCUACCCCCAAACCUGCAAAGGAUUAGCUUGACUGGCCAAUUAGCGGAAGGCACAUUGGUAGAGUCUCCUCCGUUCCAAACUAUGGGGCCGAACCUGUAUUCACUGUCUCUAUCUUGGUCCCAGCUGAUACAAUACCCCUUACCAUCCCUUUCUCGAUUGUCAAAUUUGUCAGACCUGAUGCUCACCAGGGCAUACAGAGGAAAGCAGAUGACGUUUCUUGCCGGGUGGUUCCCCAAGCUAAAAAUCCUGAGACUGAGAGACCUGCCAAAUCUGGAGGUUCUAGAGAUGAAGGAAGGUGCCAUUGUGAGCCUCGAAAUAUUAACACUAGUGAACCUUGAAGGCAUGGUGGAGGUCCCACCUGGCAUAGAGUUUCUCACGCGUGUAAAGCAUAUUUCGUUCUUGGAAAUCACCAGUGAGUUUUUGACUUCACUGUGA
rnacentral:rRNA from 1 species